rnacentral:rRNA from 1 species
GAUGAACGCUGGCGGCGUGCCUAAUACAUGCAAGUCGAGCGAACAGACGAGGAGCUUGCUCCUCUGACGUUAGCGGCGGACGGGUGAGUAACACGUGGAUAACCUACCUAUAAGACUGGGAUAACUUCGGGAAACCGGAGCUAAUACCGGAUAAUAUAUUGAACCGCAUGGUUCAAUAGUGAAAGACGGUUUUGCUGUCACUUAUAGAUGGAUCCGCGCCGCAUUAGCUAGUUGGUAAGGUAACGGCUUACCAAGGCAACGAUGCGUAGCCGACCUGAGAGGGUGGUCGGCCACACGGGAACUGAGACACGGUCCAGACUCCUACGGGAGGCAGCAGUAGGGAAUCUUCCGCAAUGGGCGAAAGCCUGACGGAGCAACGCCGCGUGAGGGAUGAAGGUCUUCGGAUCGUAAAACUCUGUUAUUAGGGAAGAACAAAUGUGUAAGUAACUAUGCACGUCUUGACGGUACCUAAUCAGAAAGCCACGGCUAACUACGUG